UUGUCCAACUCCAAAAUAUAUCAGAAAUUGUUAUCUUCACCAACUCUUUCUAGUUCUAAAGGUUAACGAAAGAAAAACAGAUUUUCGUAACUAUGGAAAAAUUUUCAUCAAAGACUGCUUUCAUCAUCCUUUUAGCUUUUACUGUGAUGAUAUCCGUAACAGUUGAGAUCACUGAGGCAAAACGUGUGUUACUUGAAGAAACUUCUCGACACUUAUUGCAACAGGAAGCUUCACUACCAGUUAUUAAGCCACUUAUUGCUAGUUUUUGUACGCCAGAUUGUAAACCAUUAUGCUUUGCUACAGCCUGCCAUUGCGUAUGUCCUCCAGGUCACAAAUAAGUGUUUGGUAUGGCUGCUUCGUUAAUUUUAUGUGAGAAUUGUAAGUCAAAAUAAUAAAAAAAUAUGUUCUUGGAUGUA